CUACGGGGGGCAGCAGUGGGGAAUUUUUCGCAAUGGGGGAAACCCUGACGAAGCAACGCCGCGUGGAGGAUGAAGGCCUUCGGGUCGUAAACUCCUGUCGAUCGGGACGAAAGCAUCUCGGCCUAAUACGUCGGGGUGUUGACUGUACCGGUGGAGGAAGCUCCGGCUAACUCUGUGCCAGCAGCCGCGGUAAUACAGGGGGAGCAAGCGUUGUUCGGAAUGACUGGGCGUAAAGGGCGCGUAGGCGGUCUUGUAAGUCUUGUGUGAAAUCCCUCGGCUCAACUGGGGAACUGCACAGGAACUGCUUGGCUUGAGUUCGGGAGAGGGAAGCGGAAUUCCGGGUGUAGCGGUGAAAUGCGCAGAUAUCCGGAGGAACACCGGUGGCGAAGGCGGCUUCCUGGACCGAAACUGACGCUGAGGCGCGAAAGCUAGGGGAGCAAACGGGAUUAGAUACCCCCGUAGUC
rnacentral:rRNA from 1 species